rnacentral:rRNA from 1 species
AUUGAACGCUGGCGGCAUGCUUUACACAUGCAAGUCGAACGGCAGCGCGGGCUUCGGCCUGGCUGCGAGUGGCGAACGGGUGAGUAAUGCAUCGGAACGUGCCCAGUAGUGGGGGAUAGCCCGGCGAAAGCCGGAUUAAUACCGCAUACGACCUGAGGGUGAAAGCGGGGGACCGAAAGGCCUCGCGCUAUUGGAGCGGCCGAUGUCGGAUUAGCUAGUUGGUGGGGUAAAGGCUUACCAAGGCGACGAUCCGUAGCUGGUCUGAGAGGACGACCAGCCACACUGGGACUGAGACACGGCCAAGACUCCUACGGGAGGCAGCAGUGGGGAAUUUUGGACAAUGGGGGCAACCCUGAUCCAGCCAUGCCGCGUGCGGGAAGAAGGCCUUCGGGUUGUAAACCGCUUUUGUUCGGGAAGAAAUCCUCUGGGCUAAUACCCCGGGGGGAUGACGGUACCGGAAGAAUAAGCACCGGCUAACUACGUG